rnacentral:rRNA from 1 species
ACGGACGAGAAGCUUGCUUCUCUGAUGUUAGCGGCGGACGGGUGAGUAACACGUGGAUAACCUACCUAUAAGACUGGGAUAACUUCGGGAAACCGGAGCUAAUACCGGAUAAUAUUUUGAACCGCAUGAUUCAAAAGUGAAAGACGGUCUUGCUGUCACUUAUAGAUGGAUCCGCGCUGCAUUAGCUAGUUGGUAAGGUAACGGCUUACCAAGGCAACGAUGCAUAGCCGACCUGAGAGGGUGAUCGGCCACACUGGAACUGAGACACGGUCCAGACUCCUACGGGAGGCAGCAGUAGGGAAUCUUCCGCAAUGGGCGAAAGCCUGACGGAGCAACGCCGCGUGAGUGAUGAAGGUCUUCGGAUCGUAAAACUCUGUUAUUAGGGAAGAACAUAUGUGUAAGUAACUGUGCACAUCUUGACGGUACCUAAUCAGAAAGCCACGGCUAACUACGUGCCAGCAGCCGCGGUAAUACGUAGGUGGCAAGCGUUAUCCGGAAUUAUUGGGCGUAAAGCGCGCGUAGGCGGUUUUUUAAGUCUGAUGUGAAAGCCCACGGCUCAACCGUGGAGGGUCAUUGGAAACUGGAAAACUUGAGUGCAGAAGAGGAAAGUGGAAUUCCAUGUGUAGCGGUGAAAUGCGCAGAGAUAUGGAGGAACACCAGUGGCGAAGGCGGCUUUCUGGUCUGUAACUGACGCUGAUGUGCGAAAGCGUGGGGAUCAAACAGGAUUAGAUACCCUGGUAGUCCACGCCGUAAACGAUGAGUGCUAAGUGUUAGGGGGUUUCCGCCCCUUAGUGCUGCAGCUAACGCAUUAAGCAC